UACGUAGGCAGCGAGCGUUGUUCGGAAUUACUGGGCGUAAAGAGUGUGUAGGCGGUGCUCUAAGUUCGGUGUGAAAUCUCCUGCUUAACUGGGAGGGUGCGCCGGAAACUGGGGUGCUCGAGCGUGGGAGAGGAAAGCGGGAAUUCCUGGUGUAGCGGUGAAAUGCGUAGAUAUCAGGAGGGAACACCUGUGGUGUAGACAGCUUUCUGGACCAUUGCUGACGCUGAGACACGAAAGCGUGGGUAGCAAACAGG
rnacentral:rRNA from 1 species